GUUAUCUGUGAAGAGUUUGAAGUACCAGUUCAUUGAAAUUGAGUGGUCAUUUUCCUCUGAGCUUCCCUGACUAAACUGCCUUCUUUUCACUUGCUGGGGCAGCAACAGCUUUUACUGCAGCGACAGGACUUUAUGUGAUUGGUAGACAGGAAGUUAGCUUCCCGUUGGAGCAUGUGAUGAGAAUUCUAGGGAGGAAGCUGAAAGAUGUGAGCAGAACCAUUCUCCACACAGCUGUAUGGCUGUAUCCUGCUGGACCAAUAAACUUGAAAGAGAUUACGGGUGCCGAGUAGCGUACUCCAGCAUCAGCCGACUGGACCUGUGUUGUGACUAAUAAAAACGAUUAUUUUUUUUAAUUGGGGGAUUGACCUUCCAAUCAUCAUGUAACUUUAAAUCAGUAUGUAUUUUUUUAUCAACUAUAAAGGAACCUUCUAAGUCUACAUAUACAUAGGUUAGUUGUAUGGACAGUUAGUAAAUAGUGGAAGACAUUUACUAGUAUUGACAAUAUAACAAGAUGUAUCCAUGUCUGCUUUCAUACUCUGAGUUUGGUUCUCAAGCUACUGGAUUGUGUCAUCAUUCAAAGCUUGUUUAUAACUAAGUUUACCUGAAUUUAUCCUGAGUAUUGCAAUAUUUUUGGGUACAGGAGAACGCACAACCACUGAUUGAAGCUGGAUGCUUCUCACAGUUACUCUUUGCAUACUGUAUGAUUGAACUUACUGAUAUGAUUAUGAACUUUAUUCACUUUGUUGUGUCACAACUUUUUUGCUGGUUUGUACCCGGUGUGGUUUCGAUUCAUGGGUCAGUCCCCAAAUCAUAAACUUAGGCCCUAAAUUUUUUCAUUAUUUUAUUCUCUCAUGAGUCAACAUAUCUUUGAAUACUCUGGUUUACGGGGCUGACUGAUUCCACAUUUUUGCUGGUAGUUACCCGUUGUCAUGAGUUUUUCGAGUUAGCUCACUCGUCGUACACUUAGGCUCUGAAAUUUUCUCUCUUCUCUUUUUGAAGAUUUAUUUGUAUAGAUCUUAACUUAAAAUUUAUAAA